rnacentral:rRNA from 1 species
CAGGGAAUAUUGCACAAUGGAGGAAACUCUGAUGCAGCGACGCCGCGUGAGCGAUGAAGGCCUUCGGGUUGUAAAGCUCUGUGAUAUGGGAAGAUAAUGACGGUACCAUAUCAGAAAGGACCGGCUAACUUCGUGCCAGCAGCCGCGGUAAUACGAGGGGUCCAAGCGUUGUUCGGAAUUACUGGGCGUAAAGCGGGUGUAGGCGGACUAGAUAGUCGGAUGUGAAAGUCCAGGGCUCAACCCUGGAAGAGCAUCCGAUACUACUAGUCUUGAAUACUGGAGAGGGAAGUGGAAUUCCUGGUGUAGCGGUGAAAUGCGUAGAUAUCAGGAGGAACAUCGGUGGCGAAGGC